UUACAGAUAAGACAGGUGUGUGAUUACAGACAGGACAGUUGUGUGAUUACAGACAGGACAGGUGUGUGAUUACAAACAGAGGUGUGUGAUUACAGACAGGACAGGUGUGUGAUUACAGAUGAGAGGUGUAUGAUUACAAACAGGACAGGUGUGUGAUUACAAACAGGACAGGUGUGUGAUUACAGACAAGAGAGGUGUGUGAUUGCAAACAGGACAGGUGUGUGAUUACAGACAGGACAGGUGUGUGAUUACAAACAGGACAGGUGUGUGAUUACAGACAGGACAGGUGUGUGAUUACAAACAGGACAGGUGUGUGAUUACAGAUAGGACAGGUGUGUGAUUACAGACAAGGCAGGUGUGUGAUUGCAAACAGGACAGGUGUGUGAUUACAGACAGGACAGGUGUGUGAUUACAAACAGGACAGGUGUGUGAUUACAGAUAGGACAGGUGUGUGAUUACAGACAAGACAGGUGUGUGAUUGCAAACAGGACAGGUGUGUGAUUACAGACAGGACAGGUGUGUGAUUACAAACAGGACAGGUGUGUGAUUACAGAUAGGACAGGUGUGUGAUUACAGACAAGGCAGGUGUGUGAUUGCAAACAGGACAGGUGUGUGAUUACAGACAAGACAGGUGUGUGAACACAGACAGGACAGGUGUGUGAUUACAGACAGAACAUGUGUAUUAUUACAGACAGGGCAGGUGUGUGAUUACAGACAGGACCAGUGUAUGAUUACAGACAGGACAGUUGUGUUAUUACAGACAGGACAGGUGUGUGAUUGCAAACAGAGGUGUGUGAUUACAGACAGGACAGGUGUGUGAUUACAGAUAAGACAGGUGUGUGAUUACAGAUAAGACAGGUGUGUGAUUACAGAUAAGACAGGUGUGUGAUUGCAAACAGGACAGUUGUGUGAUUACAGACGAGAUGUGUGUGAUUACAAACAGAGGUGUGUGAACACAGACAGGGCAGGUGUGUGAUUACAGACAGAACCAGUGUAUGAUUACAGACAGGACAGUUGUGUUAUUACAGACAGGACAGGUGUGUGAUUGCAAACAGAGGUGUGUGAUUACAGACAGGACAGGUGUGUGAUUACAGAUAAGACAGGUGUGUGAUUACAGACAGAGGUGUGUGAUUACAGACAGGACAGGUGUGUG